GCGCGGCUGACGUAAUCGGCAACCGUAUCGGCCUCAAACCCGAGUUUCCGGGUUCGAAUCCCGGGCCGCGCACCA
rnacentral:tRNA from 1 species